AGGAUCAACUGAAAAUAAAAAGUAUACAUCAAUAUCAAACUAACAUAAAUGUAGUCACAUCCAACAUAUAUCAUUGAUAAUUUGGUGUACUUCCUAGAGGAGAUGAUAACUGUGAUGGAUCAGACAUCUGAGGAUCAACUGAAAAUAAAAAGUUUACAAAUUAAAAUCUCUGUUAAAUUUUGUUUUUCAUUAUUUUUAAUAUUGACGCUGAUGUGGGUCACACACGACUGUCCUGUGAGGCGGCAUGCAUCAUGGCAGGUCAUACAAUCUGACCCACCAGUGAUGCAUGCCAGCAUCAUGUUAAGAAAACAGCAAUAAGAUCAUGUGGUGGUGGUGAUAAAUCUCUCUCAACUUGAAAUGAGAUGCAAUCUCUAAUUUUUAAAUCUGGC
rnacentral:lncRNA from 1 species